CAGCCGCCGCGGGAAUACGUAGGUGGCAAGCGUUGUCCGGAAUUAUUGGGCGUAAAGCGCGCGCAGGUGGUUUAAUAAGUCUGAUGUGAAAGCCCACGGCUCAACCGUGGAGGGUCAUUGGAAACUGUUAAACUUGAGUGCAGGAGAGAAAAGUGGAAUUCCUAGUGUAGCGGUGAAAUGCGUAGAGAUUAGGAGGAACACCAGUGGCGAAGGCGGCUUUUUGGCCUGUAACUGACGCUGAGGCUCGAAAGCGUGGGGCGCAAACAGGAUUAGAUACCCCAGUAGUCCCUGUCUCUUAUAC
rnacentral:rRNA from 1 species